CCUACGGGGCGCUGCAGUGAGGAAUAUUGGUCAAUGGGAGAGAUCCUGAACCAGCCAAGCCGCGUGAGGGAAGACGGCCCUAUGGGUUGUAAACCUCUUUUGUCGGAGAACAAAACCCGGGACGUGUCCCGGACUGCGUGUAUCCGAAGAAAAAGCAUCGGCUAACUCCGUGCCAGCAGCAGCGGUAAUACGGAGGAUGCGAGCGUUAUCCGGAUUUAUUGGGUUUAAAGGGUGCGUAGGCGGUCCGUUAAGUCAGCGGGAAAAUUGCGGGGCUCAACCCCGUCGAGCCGUUGAAACUGGCAGACUUGAGUUGGCGAGAAGUACGCGGAAUGCGCGGUGUAGCGGUGAAAUGCAUAGAUAUCGCGCAGAACUCCGAUUGCGAAGGCAGCGUACCGGCGCCAGACUGACGCUGAGGCACGAAAGCGUGGGGAUCGAACAGGAUUAGAUACCCGAGUAGUC
rnacentral:rRNA from 1 species